rnacentral:lncRNA from 1 species
AUCAUGUGAGACCUGGCUCUAUGGCUGAACUCCAAGAAUGAGUAACACCAAAUCCAAGUUGGCUAUCAUGCCUGAAAACAUGAUGGAUUCACAUCUCUGCACUGCACCGAGCUGCAGAUGUGGCCAGUAUUUUGUCUGAGAUCUGACCCGUAACUAAGCCCAGUGUUAAGGCAUUGUUCAAAGCCAUCCAGAGAGGUCCAGCUUGCAGACUUCAGUGCUCCAACAGCAAUAUUUUGGAGACAGAGCCAGUCCUCUCCCGCAUGCUGAAUGAGUGAGGGAUCUACAGUGGGACAAAGCCUAGCAGGAGCUCUUCCUCUUCUGAUCUAAAGCACAAAUAUAUUAUAUUAGUGGAAUGAUGAUAUCAUGGGCCUGUGCCUUUGCCAGCUUUGGUGGAGCAGCAUCAGAAGACCCACUGCCAACACAUGGACACCAUCUGGUUACAAACAGCUGGGGGGAAAGCAAAAACCACAAGGUAGGAUAUCAGCAGCCAGCAGUUUGCAGAUCAAUAGCUGCU